UACGGGAGGCAGCAGUGGGGAAUAUUGCACAAUGGGGGAAACCCUGAUGCAGCCAUGCCGCGUGUGUGAAGAAGGCCUUCGGGUUGUAAAGCACUUUCAGUAGGGAGGAAGGUAGUGUAGUUAACACCUGCAUUAUUUGACGUUACCUACAGAAGAAGCACCGGCUAACUCCGUGCCAGCAGCCGCGGUAAUACGGAGGGUGCGAGCGUUAAUCGGAAUUACUGGGCGUAAAGCGCAUGCAGGCGGCCUGUUAAGUCAGAUGUGAAAGCCCCGGGGCUUAACCUCGGAAUUGCAUUUGAAACUGGCAGGCUAGAGUCUUGUAGAGGGGGUAGAAUUUCAGGUGUAGCGGUGAAAUGCGUAGAGAUCUGAAGGAAUACCAGUGGCGAAGGCGGCCCCCUGGACAGAUACUGACACUCAGAUGCGAAAGCGUGGGGAGCAAACAGGAUUAGAUACCCUGGUAG
rnacentral:rRNA from 1 species